rnacentral:rRNA from 1 species
AUUGAACGCUGGCGGCAGGCUUAACACAUGCAAGUCGAACGAGUGGCGGACGGGUGAGUAAUGCGUGGGACUCUGGCUUAUGGAGGGGGAUAACGACGGGAAACUGUCGCUAAUACCGCGUACCAUAGGAUGAGCCCAAGUGGGAUUAGGUAGUUGGUGGGGUAAAUGCCUACCAAGCCUGCGAUCUCUAGCUGGUCUGAGAGGAUGACCAGCCACACUGGAACUGCGAGACGGUCCAGACGCCUACGGGAGGCAGCAGUGGGGAAUAUUGCACAAUGGGCGCAAGCCUGAUGCAGCCAUGCCGCGUGUAUGAAGAAGGCCUUAGGGUUGUAAAGUACUUUCAGCGGGGAGGCGUUACCGACAGAAGAAGCACCGGCUAACUCCGUGCCAGCCGCCGCGGUAAUUC